GAUGAAGAACGUAGCGAAAUGCGAUAAGUAAUGCGAAUUGCAGAAUUUCCGUGAGUCAUCGAAUCUUUGAACGCACAUUGCGCCCGCCAGUAUUCUGGCGGGCAUGCCUGUUCGAGCGUCAUUUCAACCAUCAAGCCCCCGGCUUGUGUUGGGGACCUGCGGCUGCCGCAGGCCCUGAAAACCAGUGGCGGGCUCGCUAGUCACUCCGAGCGUAGUAGUUACAUCUCGCUCAGGGCGUGCUGCGGGUUCCGGCCGUUAAAAGCCUUAUUUACCCAAGGUUGACCUCGGAUCAGGUAGGAAGACCCGCUGAACUUAAGCAUAUCAAUAAGCGGAGGA
rnacentral:misc_RNA from 1 species